CACUGCCYKUAAUGGGGCAGUACGUUYACGUGAAUACAUAGCGURAACGAGGCACACCCGGAGAACUGAAACAUCUAAGUACCCGGAGGAAGAGAAAGAAAAAUCGAUUCCCUUAGUAGCGGCGAGCGAAACGGGAAGAGCCCAAACCAGGAAGCUUGCUUCCUGGGGUUGUAGGACACUCUAUACGGAGUUACAAAGGRAYGRAUUAGACGAAGCGAYCUGGAAAGGUCYGCCAUAGCGGGUAAWAGCCCCGUAGUCGAAAGUYCRUYCUCUCCAGAGUGGAUCCUGAGUACGGCGGAACACGUGAAAUUCCGUCGGAAUCCGGGAGGACCAUCUCCCAAGGCUAAAUACUCUCUAGUGACCGAUAGUGAACCAGUACCGUGAGGGAAAGGUGAAAAGCACCCCGGAAGGGGAGUGAAAUAGAUCCUGAAACCGUGUGCCUACAAGUUGUCAGAGCCCGUUAAUGGGUGAUGGCGUGCCUUUUGUAGAAUGAACCGGCGAGUUACGAUUCCAUGCAAGGUUAAGCAGAGAAUGCGGAGCCGCAGCGAAAGCGAGUYUGAAURGGGCGRAWGAGUAUGGGGUCGUAGACCCGAAACCAGGUGAUCUACCCAUGUCCAGGGUGAAGGUAAGGUAACACUUACUGGAGGCCCGAACCCACGUACGUUGAAAAGUGCGGGGAUGAGGUGUGGGUAGCGGUGAAAUUCCAAUCGAACCUGGAGAUAGCUGGUUCUCUCCGAAAUAGCUUUAGGGCUAGCCUCAAACGAAAGAAUCUCGGAGGUAGAGCACUGUUUGGACUAGGGGCCCAUCCCGGGUUACCGAAUUCAGACAAACUCCGAAUGCCGAUGAUUUAUGUUUGGGAGUCAGACUGCGGGUGAUAAGAUCCGUAGUCGAGAGGGAAACAGCCCAGACCGCCAGUUAAGGUCCCCAAGUAUCCGUUAAGUGGAAAAGGAUGUGGCGCUGCCCAGACAACCAGGAUGUUGGCUUAGAAGCAGCCACCAUUUAAAGAGUGCGUAAUAGCUCACUGGUCGAGUGGCGCUGCGCCGAAAAUGUACCGGGGCUAAACGGAUCACCGAAACUGCGGAUUGACAUCUUUGAUGUCAGUGGUAGGAGAGCGUUCCAAGGGCGUUGAAGCUAGACCGUAAGGACUGGUGGAGCGCUUGGAAGUGAGAAUGCCGGUAUGAGUAGCGAAAGAAGGGUGAGAAUCCCUUCCACCGAAUGCCUAAGGUUUCCUGAGGAAGGCUCGUCCGCUCAGGGUUAGUCGGGACCUAAGUCGAGGCCGAAAGGCGUAGACGAUGGAUAACAGGUUGAUAUUCCUGUACCACCUCCCCGCCGUUAUCAGCAAUGGGGGGACGCAGAAGGAUAGGGUGAGCGCGCUGUUGGUCAUGCGCGUCUAAGCAGUGAGGUGUGGAACGAGGCAAAUCCCGUUCCUAUAACAUUGAGCUGUGAUAGCGAGGGGAAUUAUCCCCGGAGUCCCUGAUUUCACACUGCCAAGAAAAGCCUCUAGCGAGGCGGGAGGUGCCCGUACCGCAAACCGACACAGGUAGGCGAGGAGAGAAUCCUAAGGUGAUCGAGAGAACUCUCGUUAAGGAACUCGGCAAAAUGACCCCGUAACUUCGGGAGAAGGGGUGCUCUGGUAGGGUGUUAAAGCCCGAGAGAGCCGCAGUGAAUAGGCCCAGGCGACUGUUUAGCAAAAACACAGGUCUCUGCAAAACCGUAAGGUGACGUAUAGGGGCUGACGCCUGCCCGGUGCUGGAAGGUUAAGAGGAGAGGUCAGCGCAAGCGAAGCUUUGAAUUGAAGCCCCAGUAAACGGCGGCCGUAACUAUAACGGUCCUAAGGUAGCGAAAUUCCUUGUCGGGUAAGUUCCGACCCGCACGAAAGGCGUAACGAUCUGGGCACUGUCUCAACGAGAGACUCGGUGAAAUUAUAAUAUGCGUGAAGAUGCGCAUUACCCGCGACAGGACGGAAAGACCCCGUGGAGCUUUACUGUAGCCUGAUAUUGAAUUCCGGUGCAGCCUGUACAGGAUAGGUAGGAGCCUUGGAAUCCGGAGCGCCAGCUUCGGAGGAGGCAAUGGUGGGAUACUACCCUGGCUGUAUUGGACUUCUAACCCUUGCCCGUGAUCCGGGCAGGAGACAGUGUCAGGUGGGC
rnacentral:rRNA from 1 species